rnacentral:rRNA from 1 species
AGAGUUUGAUCCUGGCUCAGGAUAAACGCUGGCGGCGUGCCUAACCCAUGCAAGUCGAGCGAUCUGUAGCAAUACAGAGAGCGGCGGAAGGGUGAGUAACACGUAGAAAUCUACCUCGACGGAGGGAACAACCCCGCGAAAGUGGGGCUAAUACCCAAAAGGAUCCGCAAGGAUCAGAGUCGCAAGGCCUGUCGAGAGGAAUCUGCGGCCCAUCAGCUAGUUGGUGAGGUAAUGGCUUACCAAGGCUACGACGGGUAGGGGGUCUGAGAGGACGUCCCCCCACACUGGAACUGAAACACGGUCCAGACGCCUACGGGUGGCAGCAGGGAGGAAUAUUGGUCAAUGGGGGAAACCCCGAACCAGCAACGCCGCGUGAGGGAUGAAGGCCUUCGGGUCGUAAACCUCUUUUAAGGGAGACGAGAAAGGACGGUACCCCUGAAUA